rnacentral:rRNA from 1 species
UACGGGGGGAGCAAGCGUUGUUCGGAUUUACUGGGCGUAAAGGGCUCGUAGGUGGCCAACUAAGUCGGACGUGAAAUCCCUCGGCUUAACCGGGGAACUGCAUCCGAUACUGGAUGGCUUGAGUUCGGGAGAGGGAUGCGGAAUUCCAGGUGUAGCGGUGAAAUGCGUAGAUAUCUGGAGGAACACCGGUGGCGAAGGCGGCAUCCUGGACCGACACUGACGCUGAGGAGCGAAAGCCAGGGGAGCAAACGGG